rnacentral:rRNA from 1 species
CCAGGUUGAUUCUGCCUGACGUAGACGCUAUUCCCUAAGAUUAACCCAUGCAUGUUUUUGACAUUUGAAAAAUGGACUGCUCAGUAAUACUCACUUUAUUUUAUGUAAAUUUUUGAUUAGUUAACUACGUUAAAGUGUAGAUAAGAUGUUUACAGUAAGAGUGAGACCUAUCUGCUAGUUGUUAAGGUAAUGGCUUAACAAGGCUGUGGCGGGUAACGGUAUUACUUUGUAAUAUUCCGGAGAAGGAGCCUGAGAGACGGCUACUAAGUCUAAGGAUUGCAGCAGGGGCGAAACUUGACCUAUGGAUUUUAUCUGAGGCAGUUAUGGGAAGUAAUAUUAUAUUGUUUCAUAUUUUAAAAGUAUAUGAGGUGAUCAAUUGGAGGGCAGAUCAAGUGCCAGCAGCCGCGGUAAUACUUGUUCCAAGAGUGUGUAUGAUGAUUGAUGCAGUUAAAAAGUCCGUAGUUUAUUUUUUAAGAAGCAGUAUGAGGUGUACUGUAUAGUUGGGAGAAAGAUGAAAUGUGACGACCCUGACUGGACGAACA